UACCAGCACCCCCGAGUGGUCGGGACGUUUUAUUGGGCCUAAAGCAUCCGUAGCCGGUUCUACAAGUCUUCCGUUAAAUCCAACUGCUUAACAGGUGGGCUGCGGAAGAUACUAUAGAGCUAGGAGGCGGGAGAGGCAAGCGGUACUCGAUGGGUAGGGGUAAAAUCCGUUGAUCCAUUGAAGACCACCAGUGGCGAAGGCGGCUUGCCAGAAUGCGCUCGACGGUGAGGGAUGAAAGCUGGGGGAGCAAACCGG
rnacentral:rRNA from 1 species